UAGGGAAUAUUGCGCAAUGGAGGAAACUCUGACGCAGCGACGCCGCGUGGGUGAUGAAGGCUUUCGGGUCGUAAAGCCCUGUCGGAAGGGAAGAAAAAUGAGAUGGCUAAUAUCCAUCUCACUUGACGGUACCUUUAAAGGAAGCACCGGCUAACUACGUGCCAGCAGCCGCGGUAAUACGUAGGGUGCAAGCGUUGUUCGGAAUCAUUGGGCGUAAAGCGCGUGUAGGUGGUCAAGUAAGUCGAGUGUGAAAUCCCUGGGCUCAACCGAGGAAGUGCAUUCGAAACUACUUAGCUCGAGGACGGUAGAGGAAGGUGGAAUUCCUAGUGUAGAGGUGAAAUUCGUAGAUAUUAGGAGGAAUACCGGUGGCGAAGGCGGCCUUCUGGGCCGAUCCUGACACUGAGACGCGAAAGCGUGGGGAGCAAACAG
rnacentral:rRNA from 1 species